UCCUGAUCUAUGAUGCCAUAUAGCUUCAAAUUCUCCUUUCUUCAUUUCCAAGGAGUGGUAUCCAAUCUUUCUUGCUUUUAGAGUGUACAAGUCAUCCUUAGUUCUCCAGCCCUUGGCUAUCAUAGUUUUCUUCAGAAGAUGCUUUAUCACAAAAGAAUUUGAAUAAAACUCAAAUUUUAAUGGAAGAUCUUUAGUUAAUUUACUUAUAGAUAAAACAUUCCUUUUAAUUUCAGGCACAACUAAAAUAUUUUUCAGUUAUAUAUUUUUGUUUUUGCCUAUUUCUAGUAUUUUAUCUCCUUUGUGUGAAAUUUCUAAUAUUUUUCCAUUUCUCACUUUAACAUAUUUUUUUUUCUGUAUAAGGUUUAAAAAUAUCUAAAUUACCUUCAUUGUUGGUCAUAUGAGCUGCAACACCUGUAUCUGCAAGCCAUUCAUCAGCUAAGGUAUCUCCUGUCAUGUUGAGUGCAUUCAUUUCAGGAUUGAUUUCAUUUGGUUGGACUGCAUGGUCAAACCUUCCUGGGCAUAUGAUUGCCUCAUGCCUUACUCCCUUACAAAUUUGGCACUUGCUUUUUGACUCUUUUCUUUCUCUUCCAUGUUUCCAGUUGUCAUUGCUGCCAUGUGGCUUGAAUCCCUUCCCUUUGGAGUUAAACUCAUUAGUUUUUCCUCUAUUUUUCUUAUAAUACUUGCUUCUUUUUUUAUCCACAUAGAACAGAUCAUUAGCUAAUUUUCCUAUGCUAAGAUUGUUUCUUAAAUCAUAAGAAAUAAGCUGAGCUACCACGGAUUGAUAGCCAGGUACAGGAGGCUUUAACAUCACUGUUUUGAAUGCUGCAUAGUCUUCUCCCAAGCCAUUCAGUAGUUGAUAAAUUUUUUCAACAUCACCUAGUACCUUCCCUAUCAAACCCAACUCAUCAAAAAUAGAUUUAUAGGUGUUUAUAUCAUCCUGAAUAGGGACUGAUGAUUUUUUUUAAUGCUUUGUAAUUUGUCUCUUAACAAGAUUUCCCUUUCAACAGUAUCUUGUGCAAAUGCACUCUUUAAUGUGUCCGAAACACCCUUAGCUGUUUCAAUUCCAGUAAUCAAAGUAAGUAUAGAUGGAGUGAGACGACUAAUAAUCCAGCCCUUUACCAGUCGAUCAGUCCUCCUCCAAUCUUUAAAUCGGGGGUUAGGGUACUCAACUACAACCCUAGAAUCCUUCUAUUAAUCCAUCUAGAAGGAACUUCGAUUGAACCAUCGACAAAUUCAAUCAAAUCCUGACCUUCUAACAGACUCCCAUUUGUGUAUGCCAAAUUAAAAAAUUAUCGGUAGAUAAGUAUAAUGAAAUGAAGUUACCGAUAUUGAGAUUUGCCGGAUAAGGAUAUUCAUUCACCCGAUUCCUCCGUCUGUCACCGUGCCUGCUCUGUUUAGAACCGUUCGAUGCCCCUCGUCUCUUGCUACGCGCUGUCGAAGACGAAGACGACGACGAUGAUGACGAGCCAUCCCCAACGAUUGAUACCAUGUUAACAGAGAUAUAAUCGGUAAAACAGAGGAG
rnacentral:lncRNA from 1 species